UUUACAUUUUGUGUUAUUUAUCAUUAUUAUAAAGGUUUAAAUAGGCUAUUUAAAGAUUUAGUCAUCUUUCAUUUGUUUUGAAGUUGAGCAUUUUAGUGUGAAAGGGGCGUGGUGACUUCCGGGUUUACGGUUACUCUCAAGCCGUUAAAUUUGCUUUGGAGCUACACAGGAGCACACUGCCCAUUGGUUUAUGACCUGUGGUCACAGUGAUUAAAAUAAAAGAACAUCAUAAAUAACCACGAGUUAUUACUUCCGUGUGCUUCCUGUGGGCCUUUUCGGAGGGCCAAGACUCAAAAGUCUGAACAUUGAUGAAAGCAUCUGUGGGCCCUGUUCUCUGCGCCCUGGAGGGCCGCUCCAGCUUCGUGUCUCCUGGAGGGUCACUCCAGCUUGGUGUCUCCUGGAGGGCCGCCCCUGUUCCCUGCGCCCUGGAGGGCUGCCCCUCUACUCUUCGCCCUGGACGGUCACUCCAGCUUGGUGUCUCCUGGAGGGCCGCCCCUGUUCCCUGCGCCCUGGAGGGCUGCCCCUCUACUCUUCGCCCUGGACGGUCGCUCCAGCUUCGUGUCUCCUGGAGGGCCGCCCCUGUUUCCUGCACCCUGGAGGGCCGCCCCUGUUCCCUGCGCCCUCCGCAGCCCUGGAGGGUUGCCCUCGUGUGCUCCGCAGCCCUGGAAGGCUGCCCUCGUGUUCCUUGUGUGCUCCGUGUUGCUCAUGUUCUUUGUGUGCCCCCUACCCCUGUAAAUAAAGCUGUUUGACCAUUUUACCAAUGUGUCCUGGCCUGCAUUCGGGUCCUAAUCAACCGGUCCGUGACACACAUUCCUUUUCUUAACAGCAUUCCUUAAACACUCUAAAUCUAUUCAUCAUAGCAUUUAAACGAUAAUAGUAAUAACAAUUCUUCUCACAGUGUCAGCAUCAUAUGAAAACUCUUGUUCCAAUCACGUUUUG
rnacentral:lncRNA from 1 species